UAGGUAAGAAUAAUAGGAAUAGAUAUUCCUAUUCCAUUAUUUUAAUUAUUGAAAAUAGUUCUUACUCAAUAAACAUAUUGAAAUAUGAAUUAUAAAACAAUUAUUAGUCAGUGAGUCAGGUUCAACACUUGAUAAAUUUUAACUUCAAAAUCUUACGUUAUUUUAUAAAGAAAAUCCUAAAUCCUACAUAAACCUCAUGAUUUUAUAUGUAACAAAAAGGAAAAACAGGCCUCCGGGCGAAUGGUGGCGCUUCCUAUCGCGCUCCCGCGGUACUAUCAAACUGCCGUCCAAAUUGGCAUCCGGAAUGUUUACGAGUGGUAUCACCUUAUCUUCUCUACAUCGUGUAACAUUCAUUGAUUGUGGUCAGGUUUAUAGAUAAUGUUAUCUAGAAUAUCGUUAUAUUAUCACAGAAUAAUAUUAUUCUGUGAUAUUAUGUUAUGUUAUUAUCAUAGAUAGGGUUGCCAGAUUUUAAAAUUACCAAACCAGGACAUUAUUAAAUUACCUUUUUAUUUUUUUUUAGUAUAAUUAUAUGGAAAUAAUACCCGUUAUUUUAUUUAAAAUUAAAAUUAAUAAACAAAUACAAUUUUUUUUUAUAUAAACUAUAUUUAAUAUUUAUUUCAUUUACAUUUAUUAGGUAGUUAUAAGCUUAUUUUGAUAUUAUUUUGUUUAAUGGAUUUUUAAAUUUUUUUUUAAUACAACUAUAUUAUUCUUAAUUUUUUAAUAAAAUUCAUUACAAUUUAGACCAAAAUUGUUUCGUUCUUAAAUAAUACAAUAUUUAAAUUAUUUUCGCUCAGCUUCCAUUAAUCGGGACAAAAUAAAUGACCGGCCGGGACACCGGGACAUGAUGUUAUAAAACAAACGAUCUUGUCAAAAAACUAUUUGCAAGAAAUUUGUGUACUUAGUAUUUAAGCGAGAAACCAAGGAAAAAUUGGAGGACGUGGUAAAAUUGUUGAAAUAGACGAAAGCUUAUUUUCCAAGCGCAAAAAUAAUGCAGGCAGAAUGGCACAGCGCGUCGUCAUCUAAAAUCAUACUUGGCGGAAUUCAUGUGGAGACAAAACAUAAAAGAAAAUCAAGGAAUCUGGCUGUAGCACCUCUGGCGUGUGCCGUGAAAAAUAUAUUACAAAUGAUUUCAAUAUUUUCAUUUAAAUACAAUUCAAAUGUGGCCAUCUCCACAUUACCUACAGAUUAAAAAAAAAAUUAAUUAAGAUCGCCUCCACAUGUACGACGUUCUCUUAAUAAAAAUAAGGUAGUCUUAGAUAUCAGGAUUGUGAUGUUUUACAAAAAAAUAGCGGUAGUUGCGAUAACAGAGGUAGUCUCGUAUAACAGGAAAGUACCCUUCCUUAUAUAUAAACAUGCAGAAGCAUAUGAUUGUUACAUGUUAAUCAUACAUUCAUACCGUUAUAAUAUGUUCCAGGAUAUGGCAUUAGAUAAAAAAUAUUUAUGCAAGACAAAUAUUUGAAAAAAAGUAGGCAUUUAAAAUCUAAAAAUCCAGGUGUAAAAAUACUGUUUCUUUAUACUAUUAAAAUGUUAAUAUAAAUAAAAAGAAAAAACAGAAAUUAAUUUAUUUUAAAUGAUUAAUAACUUAAU